GUGCUCGCUUUGGCAGCACAUACACUAAAAUUAAACAAUACAGAGAAGAUUAGCAUGGCCCCUGCGCAAGGAUGACGCGCAAAUUCGUGACGCAUUCCAUAUUUUA
ensembl:snRNA U6 U6 spliceosomal RNA